GCCCUUAUAGCCCAACCGGCAGAGGCAACUGUCUUAAACACCGUCGAGUGCUGGUUCGACUCCAGCUAGGGGCACCA
rnacentral:tRNA from 1 species